GAUGAACGCUAGCGGCAGGCUUAACACAUGCAAGUCGAGGGGUAUAGUAGCAAUACUAGAGACCGGCGCACGGGUGCGUAACGCGUAUGCAAUCUACCUCAUACAGGGGGAUAGCCCAGAGAAAUUUGGAUUAAUACCCCAUAGUGUUAUUUGAUGGCAUCAUUAUAUAACUAAAGUUCCAACGGUAUAAGAUGAGCAUGCGUCCUAUUAGCUAGAUGGUAAGGUAACGGCUUACCAUGGCUACGAUAGGUAGGGGUCCUGAGAGGGAGAUCCCCCACACUGGUACUGAGACACGGACCAGACUCCUACGGGAGGCAGCAGUGAGGAAUAUUGGACAAUGGGCGCAAGCCUGAUCCAGCCAUGCCGCGUGCAGGAAGACGGUCCUAUGGAUUGUAAACUGCUUUUGUACGGGAAGAAACACUCCCUCGUGAGGGAGCUUGACGGUACCGUAAGAAUAAGGAUCGGCUAACUCCGUGCCAGCAGCCGCAGUAAUAC
rnacentral:rRNA from 1 species